GAAGCGGCAAGAAACGAAGAGACGGAUGAGUAAACCUGCCCCGAGAGACGGUUGGCAACGGACCCAGACAUGAAUCUUGUUCAAUAACAAGGGAGUAAUGAGCCGACAUGGAGGUGCUGAUACAAUCCGAGGAUUAGAACUCCCAAUAUUAUCUGACCUGUUAUCUCCGGCGUACCUUACGACCGUGAAGGCUUGUUUUAAUUCAACGGAACCAAGAGUGUUCUCUACUGCCAACGACUUGAGCAUUUCCUCAGACGCAUGACGAAAAUGAAAAAAUUUGUGCGGCAGCUCUCGUGGAGGAGGUAGAGUGAGGCGUUAACACUCAAGACGAAGAAAGUAUCACAGGUUUUCAGAUGCGUUGUGCUGGGUUGGGCUUCACUUCUUUGCCUGCCGAUUCCUUUCUCGACUCUGGUAUCCGUUUCGUUUCCCGUCUCUGUGUUUCUUGUUACUCGUGCUGUUGGUGGUCUUACCUCGUGCCUCUUCAUAGAACACGCUUAGAGCUUCUCGUUCCUUUUCAAGCGACAAAUCAGCCAGAAUAUUUAAGGCCGUCACUUUGUCGGUCAUAACGCGAGCGUCUUUGAAAUGCUGAAGCGCCAACUGGGCGCUCUGCUCUUCUCGGUCCGCAGUCACAUACUCGAGCAAAACGGAACGGAGGGCGCGUCUGAGGGGAAAUUCAACAAGAAAAGCAAACCCUCAAAACAGAAGUCGGACCACCCGGUUACUAAGAAGAGCAAGAUACAGAGAACUAGGUGAAACCACGCAAACCCAGCAAGGGCAGCGUUUGUUGUUGGCAGGUUACCGAUGCCAUUGCUCCGAUUCCUCUGCAGAUUCGAGUUGCCUAUCUGUGUCUUCAUCUUCAACUUUCGGAAUCGUAGUCACCGCAUAUGCUUGAUCCAGAGCGUCCUUAUAGACGUGGUAAAUAUCCCGGAGAAGUGAACGGCGCGCAGAGAGAAUCGAGUCAGGAUCAAGCGGCAGAGGAGCGUCUUGUUCGAGACGCGAAUAAUUUGGGAGGGUCAGAAGCAAAGCCUAGAGGCGAUGGAAAAAUCGAAGGAAGCCCGGAAAGAAAGAAUAUAACGGGAGAGGACAAUUGCCCGCGAAAAAAGGAUUCUCUUUCCUAAUCUUCCGUGCUGUUCUACUCAUCGUUUACCUUCGUAUCCACGUUGCUCGUUGGUCAUGUAGUUUUCCCCAUUUUCGUUUGAACAAUGCGUACCGUAAAUGCUGGAUUGACGGACAUAUCACGGAGAGCGAAACGGAAGCUUUGGUUGAAAGCUGGAGGAAGAAUGACACCGGCGGUUUGUUCCUUUUUCGUCGAUGUCGUCUCCCCUUCGUCGUUCUCCUGCUGGUCUUCUGCUGUCUCGUUGUCUACCUCGGUCGUGUUCCCCUCCUCUCGCUUGUCGUUGUCGCUUCUUCUGUUCUCUCGGCCUUGAUGAUGCACCGUCUCCCCUCCUCCCUCGCCCCCUUUCCUCGCCCCCUUUCCUCGCCCCCUUUCUGUCAUCUGUUUCGUGGUCUUGGACAAUGACGGGCCUCAUUUCCUUCUUCAAAAUUUUC
rnacentral:lncRNA from 1 species